rnacentral:rRNA from 1 species
GACGAACGCUGGCGGCGUGCCUAAUACAUGCAAGUCGAACGCAGUGGGGACGGGUGAGUAACACGUGGGUAACCUCCCAUCAGAGGGGAUAACACUUGGAAACAGGUGCUAAACCGAUACUGAUGGAUGGACCCGCUGUGCAUUAGCUAGUUGGGGGGGUAACGGCUCACCAAGGCCACGAUGCAUAGCCGACCUGAGAUGGUGGUCGGCCACACUAGGACGGAGACACGGCCCAGACUCCUACGCGAGGCAGCAGUAGGGAAUCUUAGGCAAUGGACGGAAGUGUGGCCGAGCCACGCCGAGUAAGUGAAGGAGGUUUGCGGAUCGUAAAACUAUGUUGUUAGAGAAGCGGUAUCUAACCAGAAAGCCACGGCUAACUACGUGCCAGCAGCCGCGGUAAUUC